rnacentral:rRNA from 1 species
ACGUAGGGGGCGAGCGUUGUCCGGAAUCACUGGGUGCAAAGGGUGCUCAGGCGGGUCGAUAAGUCAGAGGUGAAAUUUCACAGCUUAACUGUGAAUGUGCUUUUGAUACUGUCGGUCUAGAGUUCAGAAGAGGGCAAUGGAAUUCUUGGUGUUGCGGUAACAUGCAUAGAUAUCAAGAAGAACACCAGUUGCGCAGGCGGUUGCGUGGUCUGUGACUGAGGCUCCAGCACGAAAGCGUGGGGAUCAAAGUG